CAAAUCACAUUGAAACACCAGUUCCCAUACAAUCACCGAAGUUAAGCAAUAUCAAGCCUGGUCAGUAUCUAGAUGGGUGACUACUUGGGAAUACCAGGUGCUGUAAG